CACACUCUUUUGCCCCAACCCUCCCUUCAAAUUCCUCUAAUACCUCCCCUAACGUCACAUUUUCCGGUAAACUCCUCGCCUUUUCCAAUAUUUCACUUACAACACCCUCAUUUUUAGGACUUGAGAGUGUGUCAAGAGGUAAUUUUGGUAUGUCAUCGACCUCGUCCUCGUCAUUUUCAGUUGAACUACUGAUAGAAGCGAGGUGCCAGGAUGUUUUACGGUUCUUUGAAAAUGAUAGCUUGCCUUCGCGAGAGAGGUAAUUUUGAUAUGUCCUCGACCUCGUACUCGUCAUUUUCAGUUGAACUAUUGAUAGAAGCGAGGUGCCAAGAUGUUUUACGGUUCUUUGAAAAUGAUAACUUGCCUUCGCGACCUGGGUCUGGGUCGGAUUCUAAGUCU
rnacentral:lncRNA from 1 species